AAGCAAUAACGGAUGAAGCUGCCAGCAUGAUCUAAAUUUUUCUUUAAAAUCAAUAGUAAGAAAAGAUCAGAUCAUGCGACACCUUCAUCUGUCAAUGUG
rnacentral:pre_miRNA from 11 species